UGGCGGACGGGUGAGUAAUGUCUGGGAAACUGCCUGAUGGAGGGGGGAUAACUACUGGAAACGGUAGCUAAUACCGCAUAACGUCGCAAGACCAAAGAGGGGGACCUUCGGGCCUCUUGCCAUCGGAUGUGCCCAGAUGGGACUAGCUAGUAGGUGGGGUAACGGCUCACCUAGGCGACGAUCCCUAGCUGGUCUGAGAGGAUGACCAGCCACACUGGAACUGAGACACGGUCCAGACUCCUACGGGAGGCAGCAUG
rnacentral:rRNA from 1 species